rnacentral:rRNA from 1 species
AACGAACGCUGGCGGCAUGCCUAACACAUGCAAGUCGAACGAGACCUUCGGGUCUAGUGGCGCACGGGUGCGUAACGCGUGGGAACCUGCCCUUAGGUUCGGAAUAACUCCCCGAAAGGGGUGCUAAUACCGGAUAAUGUCUUCGGACCAAAGAUUUAUCGCCUUUGGAUGGGCCCGCGUUGGAUUAGCUAGUUGGUAGGGUAAAAGCCUACCAAGGCGACGAUCCAUAGCUGGUCUGAGGGGAUGAUCAGCCACACUGGGACUGAGACACGGCCCAGACUCCUACGGGAAGCAGCAGUGGGGAAUAUUGGACAAUGGGCGAAAGCCUGAUCCAGCAAUGCCGCGUGAGUGAUGAAGGCCUUAGGGUUGUAAAGCUCUUUUACCCGGGAUGAUAGUGACAGUACCGGGAGAAUAAGCUCCGGCUAACUCCGUG